CCUACGGGUGGCAGCAGUGAGGAAUAUUGGUCAAUGGACGAGCGUCUGAACCAGCCAAGUAGCGUGAAGGAUGACUGCCCUAUGGGUUGUAAACUUCUUUUAUAUGGGAAUAAAACGUUCCACGUGUGGGAUUUUGUAUGUACCAUAUGAAUAAGGAUCGGCUAACUCCGUGCCAGCAGCCGCGGUAAUACGGAGGAUCCGAGCGUUAUCCGGAUUUAUUGGGUUUAAAGGGAGCGUAGGUGGAUUGUUAAGUCAGUUGUGAAAGUUUGCGGCUCAACCGUAAAAUUGCAGUUGAAACUGGCAGUCUUGAGUACAGUAGAGGUGGGCGGAAGUCGUGGUGUAGCGGUGAAAUGCUUAGAUAUCACGAAGAACUCCGAUUGCGAAGGCAGUUCACUGGACUGCAACUGACACUGAGGCUCGAAAGUGUGGGUAUCAAACAGGAUUAGAUACCCUUGUAGUC
rnacentral:rRNA from 1 species